ensembl:snRNA U2 U2 spliceosomal RNA
AUCGCUUCUCGGCCUUUUGGCUAAGAUCAAGUGUAUUUUUUGAGUAAGUCAAGAAAAAAUUUAAAUAAGAAUUUUCAUCAGGAUUAAAAAGAAUGUUUAACUUACUUCAU